AUUUUACGACAGGCGGGAUUGCUUUGUGGCUGUCAGCUUUCCCCGUGGUCUGAGUUUGUGGCUGCAUUUUUAUCCCUGGUGGCUCUGCUACGGCGGCGCAGAAAUGAGGCAGAAGCGGAAAGGAGAUCUCAGCCCUGCUGAGCUGAUGAUGCUGACUAUAGGAGAUGUUAUUAAACAACUGAUUGAAGCCCAUGAGCAGGGGAAAGACAUCGAUCUAAAUAAGGUGAAAACCAAGACAGCCGCCAAAUAUGGCCUUUCCGCCCAGCCCCGCCUGGUGGAUAUCAUUGCUGCCGUCCCUCCUCAGUAUCGCAAGGUCUUGGUUCCCAAGUUAAAAGCGAAACCCAUCAGAACUGCCAGUGGGAUUGCUGUUGUGGCUGUGAUGUGCAAACCCCACAGAUGUCCACACAUCAGUUUUACAGGAAAUAUAUGUGUAUACUGCCCUGGUGGACCUGAUUCUGAUUUUGAGUAUUCUACCCAGUCUUACACUGGCUAUGAGCCAACCUCCAUGAGAGCUAUCCGUGCGAGAUAUGACCCUUUCCUACAGACAAGACACCGAAUAGAACAGUUAAAACAACUUGGUCAUAGUGUGGAUAAAGUGGAGUUUAUUGUGAUGGGUGGAACGUUUAUGGCCCUUCCAGAAGAAUACAGAGAUUAUUUUAUUCGAAAUUUACAUGAUGCCUUAUCAGGACAUACUUCCAACAAUAUUUACGAGGCAGUCAAAAAUUUAUUGGCUCACAGCUUUGGAGGUAGGGAAGUCCAAUGUCAAGGUGCUGGCAUCUGGCAAGAGCCUUCUUACUACGUCAUCACGGCAAAAGGCAAGAGAAACAAAAAGCGGACCAAUUCACCCUUUUAUAAUGGCAUUAAUCUUACCCACAAG
rnacentral:sRNA from 1 species